rnacentral:rRNA from 1 species
AAAUUAUUUCAAUUUUCUUUCACAAUACUAUUACACUAUAAUUAAAAUUAUUUUUUCUUUAUUAAAUACUAAAACAAAUCUCUAUAUAAUUAUUUUUAAUAAUUUAAACUUUAAAAAAUAUAAAUUAAUAAAUAAAAUAUAAUCAAUUUAUAUUGAUUUGCACAAAAAUCUUUUCAAUGUAAAUGAAAUGCUUUACUGAAUAAGCUUUAAAUUGCAUUCUAGGUACACUUUCCAGUACAUCUACUAUGUUACGACUUAUCUUACCUUAAUAGUAAGAGUGACGGGCGAUGUGUGCAUAUUUUAGAGCUAAAAUCAAAUUAUUAAUCUUUAUAAUUUUACUAUCAAAUCCACCUUCAAUAAAUAUUUCAAAUUUAUAUUCGUAUAAAUAAAUUUAUUGUAACCCAUUUCUACUUAAAUAUAAGCUACACCUUGAUCUGAUAUAUUUUCUUUUUAAAAAUUAUGAAAAUUAACAUUCUUAUAAAAUAUUCUAAUAACGACGGUAUAUAAACUGAAUACAAACUUAAGUAAGGUCCAUCGUGGAUUAUCGAUUAUAGAACAGGUUCCUCUGAAUAGACUAAAAUACCGCCAAAUUUUUUAAGUUUCAAGAACAUAACUA